UGUUUUCCAAUCGCUCUCGCGGUACUUUGAUGUCAUGCGUCGCUCGGUCUUGCGCAGCGCCUCGUGAAAUCGAACACACCUAAUGAUAACGGCUGUUUUGUCACCGAGGGCAGUUUUCUCACCACCCUUCAUGUUGCACUAUGCGCGCUUUCCUUAUCCGCUAGUAAAGGAGGCAGGGUUAAUGAAUGUUAGUUCUCGUGCUUCAUGUGUGCUGAAGUGGCUUAUACUCAUUGAUCUUUCACUUAAUAUCCUAUUAAACACACGCCCAUAUACGCAAUAUAUGAAUGGAUUACAAUUAAAAUACAAGAAGUACAAGUUAUCUGGUAUAACAGGAAUAUUAAGUUGUAGCCUAGCAACAUAGUUAUUAGUCUAUUAGUGCGGAGAUGCAAUAAAGGGAUUAUUUGCUAAACAACUGUGAGUAGUUUUAGAAUAGUAAAAAUAGCUACCAAAUAUUUAUCACUAUUUUAAUAAUUAUUCUUUGAUUAACAUUAUGUUUAACUGAAACAGACUAGUUCUUACUAGUUACUUGUAAUAAACGAGUUGGUACCAGGAAGUAAUGCAAGCUAUAAAUAAGUACAGGUUAAAAAUAUAAAAAAAUGAAGAGUAAUGGCUCGUUGUGACACAGGUGUGAGCGCGGGGCGUGGACGUAGGCAGUGCGGCGGGUUCGAGGUUGCAGGUGCGGGAGAGAGAGAGAGAGAGAGAGAGAGAGAGAGUCAUACAGAGAGAGAAAGAGAGAGAGCAUGCGUGAAAGCCGAGCUCUUUUCAGACCGAUUAUAACGAGAAAAGAGGGAGAGGGAGGAAGACAGAUUAAACAGAGCGAACACAACUGUUGUUUUAAUCCUCUGAGCGGAUAGAUUUAGAGGAGAAAAGCUACUGGUUUGGAGAAGAGCAGCCAUAUUGCAUGGACCGCUGGUGGAAUAACAGGACUCAGUCGAGCAGGAUCUCAGAGUUUGGCAGAAAACAUCCAGACUUCAUAACUGCGGGAUCCGUUGCCCGGACAGACUUCACUAAACUCUUACUGUAGAGACCAUAGUUUUUAGUUUCUAUUUAUUACUCGUUUAUUUUAUUUUUAAACUCUACACGAACGUACGCAAAGAUGAAGGACCGACUGGAUCAACUAAAGGCGACGUGCGAUCACGAUGAUGAAGACGUUGAACUCGCUGUGGACAAUGCUGCUUUUAUGGAUGAGUUCUUCACUCAGAUUGAAGACAUUAGGAACAGCAUCGAUAAGAUCGAUGAGAACGUGGCUGAAGUGAAGAAGCUUUACUCGGUUAUUCUUUCUGCACCAACAUCAGAUCAGAAAACACAGGAUGAUUUGGAGGCGCGAACCAACGAUAUCAAGAAAAUGGCAAACAAUGCCCGUAACAAGCUAAAGACCAUUGAAAGAAAUCUUGAGGCUGAAGAAGUGGAGAGAGUAUCAGCUGACAUGAGAAUACGUAAAUCACAGCACGCUGUUCUUUCCAGGAAGUUUGUCGAUGUGAUGACCAAAUAUAAUGAAGCACAGGUGGACUUCAGAGAGAAGAGCAAAGGUCGCAUUCAGAGACAAUUAGAGAUCACUGGUAGAACUACAACCGAUGAGGAGCUCGAGGAGAUGCUGGAGGGGGGAAACACAGCGGUUUUCACAGCGGGGAUCGUGGAUUCAGGAAUCUCUAAGCAGGCGCUGAGUGAGAUCGAAUCGCGUCACAAAGACAUUGUGCGUCUGGAGAGCAGUAUAAAGGAAUUGCAUGACAUGUUUGUGGACAUCGCUAUGCUGGUGGAGAGCCAGCUCCCAGUUGUCUUAUUCGUUUUGUUCAUUCUCAUUCUUUGCCUCGUUCGCCACAUGCAACGUGUUGAAGUCUCUCUGCUUUCCACAUGUGAGUGCUCUGUAUCUCUCCAUUGUUGGCAUGACCUGCUCAUUGACUUCUCAUUUUCAUUAAUUUGCAUCAUUUGGUCACACACUAUACACACCUACUCCAUCACCAUGGUUUGCAUAGAAGAAAUGAAAGAUAUUAGCUCUAUUCCAAAACCAAGUGAGCCUACUGAGACAACAUUUCAGGCAACGUAAGAACAAAUAUGUCUUUGUGUUCUUGUAGCUCAAUUGGUAGAGCACAGAUCAUAGGUUUGAUUCACACAUACCAAAAAAUAGUGUAUAUAAAAAAUAAAAUUUCAGACGUAACACAUUUUCUAUUCUGUGCAUUCCAGGAAAUGUAAUUAAGUGGGUCUGGCUAACUCGGCACCCCCACAUGUUAGACUGAGUGUGAUGGACAAACUUGUAAAAUAAUCCACUCAACAACAAAUGAACGAGUAAUUUUUGUAUUUUCAAAAUAAGCUAUAAGUCUCUCUCUCUUGCUCGCUCACUCUCUCUGUGUUCUCUCGCAUCCAGAGGUCUCUGGAUAAAUAAAGCACUUCUCGCACAUAAUGCUAAUAGUUGUUAGUCUGAACUUUAAGCAAGCUAAUGGUGGGUUUACACCAAACGCAAAUUCAAUGAUUUGCGCGAGUAGAUUAUAUACAAAGUCAAGGCAAAGACGCAAAUAGACACAAACUCGUGCAGGGCGAUACGAAUGACUCGAAUUGGGUGGCACGAUUGCCCAGAAAACGCACGUCUUUGCGCAAGUUAAAAAUAUUAAACUCAAGGGAAAACCACGAAAGUUAAAUCCCAUGAGUAAUCUAGAGCGAGGAACUUGAUGCUUCACGUUAGGUGUGUAUGCAGCAUAAUGGUGCGUUCACACCAGACUCGAAUGAACCGUUAAGCGCAAAGCAAUUUACAUGUUAAGUCAAUGGAAAGACGCGAUAGACAUCCUGCGGCACGAUUCAUGCAAAUAAGGUGACGCCAAUGACGUUUGAAGCGCGUAAAACGUGAUUCGCGUUAACCAAUCAAGAGCUUAUUGAGUAGUGACGUGAUUACGACGUAGCAAGUGGAGGCAGAAAUACGAAACAACAGUGGAGGACAAAAUCAUCGUCGCUGUAUGGGGACACCCAGAGCUGUACGAGACAUAUUCGUACUUUAAUAGAAACAGGAAUAAAAAGGAUCUUGCUUGGGAAAAAGUGAGUGAGGGGGUCGGACAAUCUGGUAAGUUGUUAAAAACGUAUACGUGUUAAAUAUAUAUUGAGAAAAUAAGCUAGCUAAAGCCGGCAAAUUGAACGUAUUGGGGUCUGAAUUUCACACAGGAAUGAAGCGUUAACUCAAAUUGUUCAAGCGUCCAACUAACGCGCAAAUAGCGUGAUUUAUUUGCGUCUGGUGUGAACACGCGCAGUAACGGUACAUUCACACGAGAAAGAAGCGUUAGCGGUUGACGGAAGGCUUGUCUGAAGCGUGGCCAACAGCCAAUCACCAUGGCCGCAACACAUGCUCCGGUCUUCCAUAAACGUAAUUGGCUGGUUCAGCCUAGGUUAUUUGCAUAAGGCGAUCUGAUUGGCUGACGCAUGCGUUGCUGCUUGAAAAGUUGAGAAAUGUUCAACUUCUGCUGCGAGCAACGGCACUGACGCGUCACAGACUGAUCCACAAUUCAGUUCGACAACGCAUGACGUCACCCAUUUAAAGGGAAUGGAAAGCGUGAACGCUUACGCCCCAUGUGAAUGUACCAUAAGACAAAAACUUACCUCUAGCUUAAAUGCACCGUAAGUCACUUCUGCCGAAUUCAUAAGUGUAAUGCCGCCUUACAUGAUACUUCAUUUUUGGAGAUGCUGUUAUGGUGCGUUCACACCAGCCGCAGUAGAGGCGGCAAAAACGCGUUUUUUGCGCGUAGUUGGAUGCGUGAACAUUUUGAGUGAAAGCUGCGUGUGAAAUUUUAGUCAUUCGAGACAUUCACCCGGAAAUUCGCGUCAUGGGAGGGACUUCUGCGACUCUGAGACUCCGCUCGCUUCCUGUAAUCACGUCACUACUAAAGCAAGGUCCUGAUAGGUUAACAAGGCGCCAAAGUUCAGAUCUUUUAACUCACACUUUUUCCGCGGCAACGUUCAAUUCGCACGGAAGGCGCCAUCCACGCAUUCAACGCCAUUCGCACUGCAGGAUUCGGGUCUUUGCAUUGACUUAACAUGUAAAUCACUCACGCUUGGCGCCUCUACCGUGAACGCCCAGUGAAGGUGUAGACUGUAGUUUUGGACCAGAGCUAAAUGUUUACUUGAUCUGAUAAUAAUUUGAUCACAUGAUCUAAAGAACAGUGAUGCAUAUUUACCACUAUUAUUUUGCUUAUUAACUGCUUGCUGUGGAGAAAUACUGAGAGGGAAACAUGGUUGAUAAUAUUGAAGUGAAUGUGGGCAAAGCUGUUGAUCACAUCGCAGUGGCAAAGGAUGAAACCAAGAAAGCUGUCAGGGUGGUAUGAUUGAAAGGAUUGAGAGCAACAUGGACCAAUCAGUGGGUUUUGUGGAACGGGCGGUUGCCGACACUAAAAAAGCCGCGAAAUAUCAGCAAGAGGCCCGGCGU